GGGAAAUACUAGUUCUGUGCCUUGGGAGGGGGGGCUGAGUUUUAAACCAAGAAACUGCUGCGGCAGUGACUCCUAGGUCAUCCAAAAUAACUGCAGAGUCUGGAAGGACUACUUGGCCUGAGUAGGUGCUGAGACCCUUUUGGAGUGUAUGACACUGCUUGUCAACCAGAAGGAGUAUGUCCUCCACGGUUCGGGACAGGAUUUCAAAGAUGCAGGGCAAGGGCUGAAGAGACCCCUGGGUGUUCCCGAGUGCUCCGUGGGGAUUACAGCUGUGCUGUGGCCCUGAGCCGGCCGGUACCUCCUCCACCUGUAGCUCACCGGAGAGGAGACAGGGCUUGGGCGGAGCCCACUUUCCAAGACAGGUGGCUGUGAAGUCGCCCUUCACCCUUGACUGCACCCGGACUGACUGCCCAGGGAAGGGACAGAGGGAGGCAGAGGGGGCAGGCCUUUCAGGUCUCGGGGAGCAGGAGCAGCGCUCUCCACUGUGGCCCUCACCUGGCGGCUUUGGGACCCCGCUUCCAGACGCGCCCUGAACGUGGGUGCGUGUUUAAAAUGCACACGUGUGCACGUACCCCCAACCGGGAAGCCCCCUUCCUUGGGUGGGAGGUUCUGGAAGGCUGGUCCGAGGUGGAUGGGAACCCGAGAAGGAAGGUGGGGAGGGCGGGCGGGUGGGGAUGGGCGACUCACCUGGGGCCACUUUCUCAGGCCCAGCCCAGCAGGUGUUUGGGUGGCGCCACCUCGUCUGCCCUGGCGGCGGUGGCGCUUCCGGCCCUGACACGGAAUCCGUCGCGGGGAGCGGGGAGCGCGGGGCCAGGUGCGGCCGGGCUAACCUGGUGGAAGCCUCGUGGAGCACAGAGCUGAUGUCAGGCCCACGGGAGAGCAGUGGGCAGCGAGCGCUUCAGCCUCCUACCGCCAGGCCCUGACCAGCUGUCAGCACCAGCAGAAGCAAGGUGACGGAUCCUUUCAGCUCCAGCGUGCUAUCUGGAAUCCUCCUGCCCUGGAAGUAGAUCGGUCCUCUGAGAUCAGGCUGGGAUGCAGCCAGCAUACAGCAGAGCUAUUUGUCCACCUGUCUUCUGCCUUGAUGGUAUCACAGCAGAGUAUUUCCCUUCCUGACCCGCACAGCAAUCUGUGGUAGUUUUUUUGUAUUUUCCAGAAAGGCUGCAAAAAUAUUUCUGAUCCCACAUGCUCUUCUAGAACCUUGCCACUCCAACAGCAUGGGGUGGAGUCUGUCUCCUGCCCUGGAACCUGGGCUGGCCAUUGUGAAUGCAAUGGAAGGGAUGCUCUGUGAAUUCCAAGGCUAGUUCAUAAAAGCUCAUACAACUUGCCCUAGUUUUCUCUCACCCUCUCUCUCUUUUUCUCUCCCUCAGACUCAGGACAUUCACCCUUGGUAUGUAGCUGUCAUUUUGUGAGGAAGCCCAAGAUGCAGAGAGAGACCACGUGUAGGUGUUGCCAGCAACAGCUGCCAUCUCGGCUGACACUACACCUGUCACCCACUAGACACAUGGAGUGAGAAAACCCUUGAGAGGCCUCCAGACACUCCCACCAUCUGACCACAACUGCACGCAAGAUCCUGAGUGAGAACACCUGGCGAAGUCCAGUCAACCCCAGAACUGUAAGAAAAAUUAUAUAUAUAUAUAAUAGCAUAGCAUAAAGUCGUUGUUUAUGCCAUCCAGUUUGGGGUGAUUUCCUACACAGCAAUUGGUAACCUGCACAUGAGCUGAAAAAAUAAGACAUUAUGCUGUUUAAGAAGGGUAAGCUUGGGGCCCCUGGUAGCUCAGUCGGUUAAGGGUCUAACUCUUGGUUUCAGCUCAGGUCAUGAUACUGGGGUCGUGAGAUCAGGCCUUGUGUUGGGCUCUGAGCUCUGUGAGAAGUCUGCUAAAGUUUCUCUCUCCUUCUCCCUUCACCCUCCCUAUGCUUGCACAUGCACACUCUCUCAAAUAAGUAAAUAAAUCUUUUUUUUUUUUUAAAAAGGAUAAUCUUAAAAUAUCUUGUUCAUGUAAUCUCCUGCAAGGACUUUGAAAAACCAUGUAUCUGCCCACACCUUUUUAAGUUGCUUUCUACAAUUUUUGUUAUACCUUUAAAUGGCUGCAAAAUAAAAUUUCACACAAAAUCAUGACAUCAUUCUCUUAAGUACAUCCACUAGAAUAUCCACACAAUUUGAUAGCUAUGAUCACCCAUGUUUAAAACACAAGAACCUGGGCAGCCCGCGUGGCUCAGUGGUUUAGUGUUGCCUUUGGCCCAGGGUGUGACCCUGUAGACCUGGGAUCGAGUCCCACAUCAGGCUCCCUGCAUGGAGCCUGCUUCUCCCUUUGCCUGUGUCUCUGCCUCUCUCUCUCUCUCUCUCUGUAUCUCGUAUGAAUAAAUAAAUAAAAUCUUAAAAAAUAAUAAAAUAAUAAAAUACAAGAACCUUGGGCACCUGGGUGGCUCAGUCGGUUAAGUGUCUGCCUUGGGAUCAGGCCAUGAUCUCAGGGUCCUGGGAUCGAGCCCCGCGUUGAUCUCCCUGUUCAGCAGGGAGUCUGCUUCUCCUUCUCCCCCUCCCCCAGUUCAUGCUCUCUCUCUUUCUCUCUCUCUCUCUCAAAUAAAUAAAUAAAAUAUUUAAAAAAUAAAAUACAAGAACCAUUUCUCCUUUUGGAGUCAGAAAUUUCACAUUGUUCCUUUUUUUCCUUGACCUGGUGUUACUAGUCCAAGUCCCUCACAAAGUUUCAUUCUGUGUUUGCAUUUGAAAAUCAUUUCUCAUCCUAUUGUGCCUUUCUGCAAAAAGAAUACAUGCAUGCACGUACAUAUCGAAAUUAUAAGUGUUUUUGUUUCCAGUUAUCACAAAACAUUCCUCAAUGCUUAAAAAUUUUUAUACACAUUAAGAUAAUAUUUUACAGAAAAUAACAUGGGUAAAAACUGUUUUUCAGUUAUUUUAAGUAUCCACAGAUGAAUAUUACUAUUGUAUAGAAUGAGCCAGAGUUCAACAUGAAUUUUAAUCCCUGUUUGUAUUUGUAUAGAUUUAAGUGCCAAGAAAUCUCACUCACAUAAAGAAGUAGAUGGAGUUGGAAGCAGUUUUGAUAGAGCAAUGUCAUUGAUUCUUUCAACCUCGUCCAAGUCACAUGCUAAAAAUUGCACAGCAAUUCAGUCUCAAAGUUUAUUUUUAGUGUUCUAUACCAUGACAACUCGGUCACAUCCAGCUUCCAUUUUAUUGGUGGCAAAGAACUGGAAAUCACUUGGCUUGAAUGUUUCCUGGGGAAAUGUUCUGGAGACUGACAGGAGGAGGAGAGGGCUUUAGAGGGCGAUGGGAACUUCAGCCAGCCUUCAGUUCCUCUAGGAGGUGGAACCCUCUAGGGGGUUCCACAUUUCACCUCUGCCUCUAGGGGGUGACCCUGGGCUUCCUGGGCCAUGAGGGCCUCGCCAACUCUCUUCUCUGCAGGGGCCCCCUGGCAAACAUGGGCUACAGUGUGUGUCUCUGCUUUCCAGACUCCUUGUCCUUGUGGGUCGACAUGUCUGGAUGGAGAGGAUAGAGCUGCAUGUGAUCCUUCUCCCCCCAUUCUUAACUGGUACCGAAGUCACUACUUAACAGAAAGUGGAGUUCUUAGACUUACCCACACCAAUGUCUUACACUCUAGAGCCUAGGGUGGAAAUCAUUUACACAGGAACAGCAUGAUUUUUUGAACAUGCUCAGUGACAGAUUUUCUAUAUUGAAAUUUCUGGAAGUCAUUUGGAUGAAAUGCCUCAAUUAAGCAAGGCUCAUUACAGGAUGUUCUAUGGAAUACUGUCCUACACCAGGCUCAAGGGAAACAGAGUUUGGGGUAGGAUUUGAUCGGAAGAGAUCGCACACCAUUCUAUCUCCUUGGAGUUUUGAAACAUACAUUGAAAGUUUUAAUAAAUUCUGUAACAAAGAAACCCAUUUGACUGGAUUUUCUAAGCCCAUCAGACCACGAAUCCAGACUGUCCUCACAUAACCAGUCUUCCCCAAACAUCCGAGGUAAAGGCUAAAGUCCGUGACAAAUUUGGUGACAGAUUUUGGUUAGAAAUUGUUCAGCUGGGUCCUGGUGUGGAGAAGCCAAAAGACCCCAUUCCACCCUUCACUUUGCAAGGCAUCCUGUGGCUCUUCAGCAUGUGUGCAUGACGGGAUCGAUGGGCUUUUGACCUCCAGUUUGAACCAUCCCACAGAUGGCAGAGAGACAAAGCAGUGUGCUCUUUAUUUGUGAUUUUGACAUGUGUGCUUUGGGGGAUACUGGGAAUGUUGUAAUUUUCCAGAGCAAACUUUGACAUUUUGUUUCUGGGUCACAGAGAAAGCACUACCUCUCAUCACCAAUUACUGUUUUCCUCAAAUCCAUGCUAUUUUUGUCCAGUUUCCUUUGAAAUACCAGAACAAAUGCUAAGCCUUUGGUUUUUCCUCUUGUCAUUCAAAUGAAUGGUACAGAUUUUUUUGGGGGGUGGGGUGGGGAGUCUUACCUUGGGUUCAAGUUGUCCUUCAGAACACAUGAGUGGCUCUCAAAAGCCAACUCUUCUCCCAGCACUUGCCUCGUUGCUAGAAUCACAGCUCUUACUUCUUUCAUGACAGUGUCACCAACUGUUUACUUGGAUGAUCAUCGAUAUCUGUACCUUGUUUAAUUUUCAGGGUCACACUCUCGCUUUUGAUAUCAUUUGUGUCCAAUCAAAUCUCCUUUUAUGUAUUUACAGUUUACAUGAGAAACUGACUUCACGUGGUCAUUGAUGCUCUUCACUCCAGCUAAUGGUCAUUUCUUUUUAGGCCAGUGCGUCGUAAUGCAGUCCUCUGUUAAGGCUGCUAGAACAAGAUCAGUUUAGACAAUGUUGAGAUUAAUGCUGUUGCAAGUUGAAACAAGUUGUGACAUGCUGGGAAACACUCUGAGUCCGAUUUUUUAAUUUACAAAUGAAGGGUGUUAGACUCAAAUCUUUUCAGGUCUCUUUGGAGAACUUUAUGCUUCUGUAUGUUGCUAAGCUCAGGACUCUUCUAUUUCCUUAAGUAAUAUGAUAGCAUUUUUAAUCACCUAUCAUUCAUUAAAUUCAUCUAAAAUGUUUGAGAUCCAAUUACUUUUCAAUUUACUGCAACUCCUUCAGCAAAAAAUUCUGUUUACUCGCUACACACCAAGUUCCAGUUUGACUCUCGUCCCCAUACCUUGCAUGUGUGGUGGCUGCAUGCAUAAGGGCACAAAUAACACUCCCUGGGCUUGUGAAAAGUUUCUAAGCAAGCUUUAAGGGAAAUCCCAGACAACUGCAUUUCAAUAGGAUAUUGUGCCAAGAACAUACAGCACCGAGCACAUGAGGAAGAGAAGAGCACACACCUGAGCAUGGAUGAAGUGAGGAUAAACCCACAAAAUAAGGAUCCUCUGUGAAUUUAGUUUUCUGAAGAUCUUUGUAAUACUCAGGAAAAUCUAGGUAAGAGGGCAACUUUACCUUAGAAAUCAAUUUGCACAGGAGUAAAUUGGGGCCAUAACUUAUUUGAAGAGUCUUGAGCAUCCCUGGAAGGUCACUAUAAUUGGAUACCUGGCGUGGCCAGAGAGGCAUCACCACUGUUCAGCAGGAAAUGAUGAACGCCGUGAUUUGGGAGCUCUGUCAAUAUUUGUGUGCAGUCAAUGAAGAAGGGAAGAAGUAGAAGGCAAGUGACGGUGGGGGCUAGUUUCAAGGUGAAGACACCCUAAAGCGACAAUUCUGGAGAGACAUUACAGAGGACAGCUAAGAGUUUGGUUAUAGAUGGGACGAGAGGAUGGGAGAGACAGGAGGCAAAGAUAACUCGCUUUCUGA
rnacentral:lncRNA from 1 species